CCUACGGGGGGCAGCAGUGAGGAAUAUUGGUCAAUGGACGAGAGUCUGAACCAGCCAAGUAGCGUGAAGGAUGACUGCCCUAUGGGUUGUAAACUUCUUUUAUAUGGGAAUAAAAUGUUCCACGUGUGGGAUUUUGUAUGUACCAUAUGAAUAAGGAUCGGCUAACUCCGUGCCAGCAGCCGCGGUAAUACGGAGGAUCCGAGCGUUAUCCGGAUUUAUUGGGUUUAAAGGGAGCGUAGGUGGAUUGUUAAGUCAGUUGUGAAAGUUUGCGGCUCAACCGUAAAAUUGCAGUUGAAACUGGCAGUCUUGAGUACAGUAGAGGUGGGCGGAAUUCGUGGUGUAGUGGUGAAAUGCUUAGAUAUCACGAAGAACUCCGAUUGCGAAGGCAGUUCACUGGACUGCAACUGACACUGAGGCUCGAAAGUGUGGGUAUCAAACAGGAUUAGAUACCCGAGUAGUC
rnacentral:rRNA from 1 species